rnacentral:tRNA from 2 species
GCCGACAUAGCUCAGUUGGUAGAGCAAUUGAUUCGUAACCAAUAGGUCAGCAGUUCGAUUCUGCUUGUCGGCACCA